UCGCACCGUUUUUGGCAAUGGUAGAACUCACACUGGUGAGAUAAUGGGAUCCGGUGGUUCUAGACUUGCCAACUAUGGUGCGAGG
rnacentral:pre_miRNA from 14 species